UGGGGAGCAUCUUUUGUAAACUGCUCUCCUUGGGGCUGAGGAACAGCACUCCUGUCUGACCUCUGCUUGAAGGACUCCCAGGGUCUCAGCAAUGCAACUAUUGUUGACAAAACAUCCAGAACCUUUAAGAAGGUUCAUGAAGCAGGGCAGCCCCUUUCCUAGAGUGAUUUCUUCCCUUGCUGUCAGAUCAGACCUCCUCUAGGGGGUAGCUAUUAAUGGAAGAAGUCCCAAAGACAAGUGCUUGUUGACCAAAGGCAGGCUAGUUCGCAAAGAUCAAUGGUCCGACAGCCCUCAUCUAUCAUCUCGGACACGUGUGCAU